rnacentral:rRNA from 1 species
AAUCAACGCUGGCGGCGUGCCUAACACAUGCAAGUCGAACGAGAAAGUGGGGGAAACCCUGCGAGUACAGUGGCAGACGGGUGAGUAACACGUGAACAACCUACCCUUGAGUGGGGAAUAACACCGCGAAAGCGGUGCUAAUACCGCAUAAAAUUUCUGGGUCGCAUGAUUUGGAGAUCAAAAGCGCAAGUUGCUUGAGGAGGGGUUCGCGGCUGAUUAGCUAGUUGGUGAGGUAACGGCCCACCAAGGCAACGAUCAGUAGCCGGCCUGAGAGGGCGAACGGCCACACUGGAACUGAGACACGGUCCAGACUCCUACGGGAGGCAGCAGUGGGGAAUUUUGCGCAAUGGGCGAAAGCCUGACGCAGCAACGCCGCGUGGAGGAUGAAGGCCUUCGGGGUCGUAAACUCCUGUCGAUGGGGACGAAGGCCUCGCAAGAGGAUUGACUGUACCCGUUGAGGAAGCCACGGCUAACUCCGUGC